GGAUCAAUAUGUUGGUCGUGCCUUGGUACGUACUAAUUUAUUGGUUUCUUCCUUCAACCAUGAUGUCAUUAAUUUGGUGUCUUGGGGAAUCAGGACUGUUACUUUGAAAAAAUUAGAGUGUUUAAAGCAGGCUCACGCUUGAAUACAUUAGCAUGGAAUAAUGAAAUAGGACGUUUGAUUCUAUUUUGUUGGUUUCUAGGAUUGACGUAAUGAUUAAUAGGGAUAGUUGGGGGCAUUAGUAUUCAAUUGUCAGAGGUGAAAUUCUUGGAUUUAUUGAAGACUAACUACUGCGAAAGCAUUUGCCAAGGAUGUUUUCAUUAAUCAAGAACGAAAGUUAGGGGAUCGAAGACGAUCAGAUACCGUCGUAGUCUUAACCAUAAACUAUGCCGACUAGGGAUCGGAUGAUGUUAAUUUUUUAAUGACUCAUUCGGCGCCUUACGGGAAACCAAAGUGUUUGGGUUCCGGGGGGAGUAUGGUCGCAAGGCUGAAACUUAAAGGAAUUGACGGAAGGGCACCACCAGGGGUGGAGCCUGCGGCUUAAUUUGACUCAACACGGGGAAACUCACCAGGUCCAGACAUAGUAAGGAUUGACAGAUUGAGAGC
rnacentral:rRNA from 1 species